AAACCAUGCAUAGGACAUUUCCUAAGCAAUUCCUUAAAUAUUUCCUAGGCUUCAUACAGUCUUUCAUCCUUUGAUUAACAAAAAACUAUUAUGUCAUUUCUGAGCUU
rfam:Gossypium raimondii chromosome 3, whole genome shotgun sequence.